rnacentral:rRNA from 1 species
GUGAGGAAUAUUGCGCAAUGGAGGCAACUCUGACGCAGCCAUGCCGCGUGCAGGAAGAAGGCGCUACGCGUUGUAAACUGCUUUUAACCGGGAAGAAACCCCAGGACGUGUCCUGGGUUGACGGUACCGGAGGAAUAAGCACCGGCUAACUUCGUGCCAGCAGCCGCGGUAAUACGAAGGGUGAAAGCGUUAUCCGGAAUCAUUGGGGUUAAAGGGUGCGUAGGCGGAGCGUUAAGUCAGUGGUGAAAUCCUGCAGCUUAACUUUAGACUUGCCAUUGAUACUGGCGCUCUUGAGUGCGCUUGAAGUGGGCGGAAUGUGCCGUGUAGCGGUGAAAUGCUUAGAUAUGGCACAGAACACCAAUUGCGAAGGCAGCUCACUAAGGCGUUACUGACGCUGAGGCACGAAAGCGUGGGGAUCGAACAGGAUUAGAUACCCCUGUAGUCC